rnacentral:rRNA from 1 species
AAGAGUUGUAAUAACUCCCAAACCCAUGUGAACAUACCUCAUGUUGCCUCGGCAGGUCGCGCCCCCUCGUAGGCCCUACCCUGUAAGGCUUACCCGGAAGGCGCGGGUACUCCUGCCGGCGGCCCACGAAACUCUGUCUCAUCGUUGAAUUCUGAACCUAUAACUAAAUAAGUUAAAACUUUCAACAACGGAUCUCUUGGUUCUGGCAUCGAUGAAGAACGCAGCGAAAUGCGAUAAGUAAUGUGAAUUGCAGAAUUCAGUGAAUCAUCGAAUCUUUGAACGCACAUUGCGCCCAUUAGUAUUCUAGUGGGCAUGCCUGUUCGAGCGUCAUUUCAACCCUUAAGCCCUUGUUGCUUAGCGUUGGGAGCCUACGGCACCGUAGCUCCCCAAAGUCAGUCGCGGAGUCGGCUCACACUCUAGACGUAGUAAUUUCUCACCUCGCCUAUAGUUGGACCGGUCCCUUGCCGUAAAACGCCCUAAUUUUUAAAAGG